UUGGUGGCCAAGUUUCCCCAUUCUGGUGUAUUUUAAGGAGACACAAACAAAGCCUGAAGGACAAGUUCACUUCUUCCCAGUAAUUUUUAAUGGAAAGCAACUCUAUGAUGUUAUGGUUGAAAGAGCUGGUCCUUCAAAAACUAGUGGUCCAAAAUAAUCCUGAAGACUUGAGACUUUCACGAUGACAUAUUCUCAAUAUCAAACUUUAAAAGAAUAAGGUUAAGACUUGUUGCCUAUCAUUUUAUUUGAAGCUUCAUGAAGUACAUAUUUUACUCUAGACUGCACCUUAUCUUCAUCAGACCAAUCAUCUCUGGUUCAAAAUUUGUACUGUCCUGCAAUUGCAGACAUUCAACCAUGCAAGAUGUAAGACUCAGCUGUCCUGCAGUUGCAGACAUUCAACUAUGCAAGAUGUAAGACUCAAGGGUUAAUACUUUAUAUGUUGUAGCUUUAGGUUUUUAUCACUGGUCUAUAUUUGACCAAUUGUAAUACAUUAUUCUGAUCUGUCUGUAACAGUUUUGCCGGGAGGCCGAGAGCCAACUUGGUUUGUAUCUAAAAACUUCAGGAAAGUCAGAAACAAGUAAAACAGUCCUUUGCUAGCUCAAAUAUUGUAACUUUUGCUUUAA